UGUUAUUCAAGUAGAGUUUUUAUUAAGUAUCAAAGAGGAUCAAAUGUUUGCUUCUCCAAGUAUUUCAAACAAACCAAAUACUAUUUUUCCUCAAAUUAAUAAUCACAUGACCAUCAGUGAUUACAGUUUUCAUUCACAGAGUUGUUUGUUUUUUCAUAAAGACGCCAAAUCCUGCUUUCAAACUUUAUUGGAAGGCUGAUAAGCUUGUUGCAUAUCUGUGAAAAUACAUGCUUGAAGGAAAUAAAAUAACAAAAAGCACCGUUAAUUUAAACAAUCUUUGUGAUCUGUUGAUUUCCAUCACAUUACGUAGAGGGAUUUCAGCAUAAAGGCAAUAUUUUACAUCAUAUUUUAAGCAUACAGCUUAGUUAACACAAGGUUACAAAAUGAAUGCUUAUUGAACAGUUUCAGGUAAAGCCCAGCGGGAGGCAGUAUAAGGCUGGCCCUUCAAUCCACAUAUCCACUUUUUUUAUAUAUAUAUUUUUUAUCUGUCCAGAAGCGGUUCGCUCUUCACAUUGUUUCAGUGCAGUGAAAGGUCAUAGUGCUCACAGGACAGGAAGGCCCUCCCCCAUAGGCCAGUGCUCUUCCUGUUCUCCUCUCUGAGACACCUGAGCAGCAUAAUGUGGCUCAGGCACUUUUUUUUUUAGAUGGUGUCAUCUAAAUGCUCGUGCAGCCUUUCUCCUCUGUUAUUGUGCCUGUACCUCCUGAAAAGAAACCAAGUGUUCAAUUUAGUGCAGCAACAGUGACAAACUGUACACUGGCUCGAGUAAAAAUGACAAUUGUUUUGUCAGCAGACGCAGGCUGGCCUGUCACGCCUCAUGUUUGCACAGUAUUGUGUGGGAGGACACCGUGUCACAUUUUGCUGUUUCAUUCUGUACCAUCACCUUUUUUUUUUUUUCCUUGUCGUUUUCUAAAGCAUCCACUACCAGUGUCUUAUUUUCUCGCUGCAUAUGGCUUUAUCAACUGAGCAUAGCCUGAAAUGAGAUUUGUGCUUGUGUCUGCCAGUGACUGUGUGCCUUACCGUACCUCCACAGCAGAAAUGCGAGCACUCCUCCUAAACUCAGCAGGAGCAGGAGACAGACUACAGCUGCCGUCGCACUUCUGUUCUCGGUCUCACAAGGUGCUGUCAACCAGGAAAAAACAGCCGAUGAGAGGAGGAACAAAGAAAAACAAACCCAAAGAAACAGAAAAAACAGAGGUCAUCUAGCAUGGCUGUUCUUAGAGGGCAAAGAGGUCCCCUGCAACAACUCCACACAGUCACUAAACUGACUGGAACACCAAGGGAUAACAGGAGGCAUCCUAAAAUACCCUGACUGUCGCUGGAUCAUCAUGCCUCUUGGCAGAUACGAGGAAUUGCAUUUGUCUUGCCUGUUUAGCAGCAGUGGUAGCGGCAGUGGCAGUAGUGUUGGUAGUGAUUUAUUGAUUGCACUCUGGAAAAUCCUUUAUCACUGAAACACCACCGGUGAUACAAUACACAGAACAGAACAGAAGCGCAAUCAGGACACAGCUUCAAUAGACACAAUGCAUUAUGUACAGGAGUCCGAUUCCUGAAUAUCCAUGACACAGCACGGUGGGCUUUAAAUAAAGUGUCAACAGGCGUAGCCACCUUUACAUCGAACCGCCUGCUCCAGCCAAAUGGGGAUCAAGCAUUGAGUUUUUUAAUCUCAUGUGGAGAAAUGUGGAUUUACAUCCCAAGUAAAUGCAGUAUGACCAUGAAAAAAGUGCUGCAUUACAAGUCAAAGAUAACUCUGACUUAAGUCCACGAGAGUAUAUUUUUAUAUAUAAACACAAAAAGUAAAGAAAUUUGUAUUUGGUAGAUUAUUUCUUGCCAAUAAAUCGUACACCUUGAAAAACCUGCUUAUUUAAAUGAAGCCAUGUUUGUAAGGAAAAUGCGU
ensembl:lncRNA